AGUGAACGCUGGCGGCGUGCCUAACACAUGCAAGUCGAGCGCGAAAGGGUAGCAAUACCUGAGUAAAGCGGCGAACGGGUGAGUAACACGUGGUUAACCUACCGAGAUGUGGGGGAUACCCCGGAGAAAUUCGGGACAAUACCGCAUACAGUCUUCUGGACGUCGGUCUGGAAGAGCAAAGCCGGGGAUCGUAAGACCUGGCGCAUUUCGAGGGGACCGCGGCCGAUUAGCUAGUUGGCGGGGUAAGGCCCACCAAGGCUUCGAUCGGUAGCCGGCCUGAGAGGGUGAACGGCCACACCGGAACUGAGACACGGUCCGGACUCCUACGGGAGGCAGCAGUGGGGAAUUUUGCGCAAUGGGCGAAAGCCUGACGCAGCAACGCCGCGUGGAGGAUGAAGGUUCUCUGAAUCGUAAACUCCUAUCGGCCGGGAAGAAUGGGCAGGGUGCUAAUCAGCCCUGUUUGACUGUACCGGCAAAGGAGCCCGGCUAACUCCGUGCCAGCCGCCGCCGUAAU
rnacentral:rRNA from 1 species